GAGACAGGGAGGACCCUCCCCUAGAGCCUCCAGGGGGAACAGCCCUGCCCACACCUUGACUUUGGACUCCUGGCCUCCAGAACUGUGAGAGGACCUAGGACCCCACGAGAGGAGGGAUCUGGAGGCCAGGACAGGAGCAGGACAACACAAACAGAGGCCUCAGAAGAAGACUCAGAGUGGGACAGGGGCUCCUUAAGUGAUCGGGGCUGGAAGUGCACAGAGAAGCCUGGUGCAGCAGGGAAUUUUCUCUCCCUGGGGUGCUGCCAAGGUGUCUGUUGCUUGCCAGCUUUUCCAGCCAUGACUGCAGACAAAGUCCACCUAGAGUCAUAAAUGGGCAAUCAGCCCCG